rnacentral:lncRNA from 10 species
CCUGGGCAGAGGCAGGUCUCAGUCCCAGGGCCUUGGGUCUGCUGCUGGGUGUGAUGAGUUAAUAAGGAGGGCAUGGUGUGCAGAAUGAGCUCGGGUCCUGGCCAUGGGACAUCUGGCCAGCACUGUGCCCCUUGGAGCCCAUCUUUCCAUGGGAUCAUUAGAGUCCUUCUCUUGCAGCUGUUGGGAGAAUGAAACACAAGGAAAGCCCAGGACCAGUACCAGGCACAGGGUCAGUGGCGACAGUCGCAGACAGGAAUGAUGUGUGGACUUGCCAUGGUGUGCAUGAGCC